UUCAAACAAGAAGCACUCGGAGAGCCUGAAGAAUGAUGGCGAAGCYCUUAUCCAGGCUCUAGAGAGCCUGGCCCAAACUGCCAGCUCUCACACUGACACUGCUGUUGCUUCCUUGGCAUCUGAAGUUCUGAGAACAGUGGGACGUGAACACAUCAAGACUCCCAAGUGAAGCAUUUUUGACCAGCCUUCUGAAAUGUGCAGGUUGUGUACCCUGCUCAGCACCUCGGUCCUGCAGAUGACCUCAGAUGAGCUGAACAGAUGUAACUCAUUUAGCAAUCUGAGCUGUAGCACAUGCAUGAAUUUGGGCUGGUUCUGGGGAUCAUGUUUUUUAUUUGUUUUUUAUACCCCUAUAAGGAUGAGUUCUUGGUUACCACUUUGYCUUGCUAGCAUUACAUGAUGUAGCUCAAGUAUUUGACAGACAGUUUGAAAGUGUAAAUUAAAUAAAUAGCAGUUACUUCACAAUAUAAAGUCUUUCASUAUUUCAAGAUGUUAGAAAUGCUCAUUUAUCUUUUAGUCCAGGUGAUAUGGCUGUUCAUCCUAAUCACCUCAUGCUUGUGACUGGCACUARGAAAUACCUUUUUAUCAGGACAGGCAAUAUUGUUCAACUCAAGCAACCAGUGCCAACCACUGUGGAUCACAGAGGCUGUGUGUAUGUGGCAUGUAAGGAUGACAGACGUUCCCCAGGUUUCUGCUGAGGAGCCUUUUGUGUGCCCCUCCUUUGCCUAGCACUGCACAGCUUCAGCUGCAUGGGUGGAGUGCUGUUCUCAGCAAUGCUCCUGGUUGCAGUUCUUUGUGAACACGUGUGAUGAGGACCUGGCAGUUUGUCAAAGCUCCAGUAAAAGCUUGUACCCUAGAAAGGGUCCUCCAGAGCUUGCAGAUCCCACAGUGGGAAGGGGUAAAUGCUUCUCCACCUGUGCUGUGGUUGAUGGCUGUCAGUGCAGCAACUCUGUGUUSCUACUACACCCACCAAAUCCAGGUGCCUGAGAGCUGCUGCUGCACCCCUGCUCUGGGACAGCCUCAUUAUCCCGACUAUAGGGAGGCAAGCAAACAGCCCCAGGUAAAGAGAUUUCACCUUGUCUGUUUUACAGGAAUUGUUUUCUUACAUUACUUAAAUACACUAUCUUUCAUAGUUUAACAGCUUAGAGUUACKAGAAAAAGGCAAGAGUUAAGUGCUGGCCAUUGGUGUCAUAUUUUACAGUAAAAGUCAGGUAGCUGACAGGAACAAAGAACAAAGCUGAAUUCCUUGGGUGAGACCUUUCCCAGUGCUGCAGAAGGGGAAGCAGGCUGGUGUGCUUCCCUUCAGCUCCCAGCAUCUCGAGCCAGGAGCCUGUGCAGCCAAGGCCUGCUCUGAUCUCCUGCUGGCAAACUGCUGYCUGCAGUGGAAGUGUCUGGGAGCUUGUGCUCCCACACAGCUGGUGACAGCUGCAUGGUGCAGAUGUGCAGGCUGUGGCUGAGCCAGCAGUCUCAGAACCACUUUGUCCCCUUCAGUCACACAGGUGCUGCCUCAAGGGAAGCCAGUUACACACAGCUCUUGUUUCACACAGUAACUGAAUGCUGAAAAGGAGACAGCCACUGAACCAGCUGAGAGCUUGUGGGCAAAGAAUCUUUCACCCAAUGCUUAGUGACAAUGCACCGCUGGGGGAAAUGAGGCAAGAGGCUGUUCUCCCCUUUUUAAGCCCAGAGCAGAUGUGGGGCUGGCAGGCCAGGCACAAAGUGGACAUCUGGCUCGACCUGCCAAAGCAAAGCAGGGGAAGGCCUGAAGCAGGAAAUGUCCAGGCUAUGAAGGGUAACUGUGCCAGAGUGGGAUGGAAGAGGUAAACCAUUCUUGUCUCCCUCCACUAAAGUGGUUGUGAAAGUCCAGGAGUAUUUCUUAACACACAAAUAUAUUUUGUGAUCUGAAAUAAUUUGACACAGAGUGAAUUAAAAGUUUACUUUAAUUUUGAACCAUUUUAUAACUGCAUUUUUCUCAUGAAGCAUCUGUAUCACAGCAGGCUACAAUAACUUUGGGAUAAAAGGCAACUGGUAAACUGUCCAAUACAAGGUUCCAAAUAAACAGUUCUUACUGGCCCCUACCCAGACAUAUCCCAGAUAAAGUUUUUGAUCAAAAACAUGAAAUAGAUCCACCUGCUUAUUUUAAGCAUAUUAAAAAGGAAACUAAUUGGACCAUUUCUAUUUGUCUAGUUUUUUAUACAAAAAGGCUACACAAUGUUACACUUUAUUCMGAAUACAGUUAGAGCGAUUAUGAAUUAGUGUUCUACACCUUUACUCAAUCCUUAAAAAUUAGAAACUGCUGUAGCAUAUUCACUAUAACUUAAUACUACGAGAGACUUUAAAAAAAACUAACAACAAUUACUGCAAAAAGAAAGGCUACUUUCAAAGCAAGCAAGGUCAGUACCAUUACAGAGAUUUAAAAAAAAUAAUAAAUUUUUAACAAGCAAGGCUAGGGUUUGAUAAAUUCCAUCUUGCAAUUCAUUCUUGUGCAUUCUUCGUUUCUUGAAUCACUCCCAAAAUCCAUUUGUAUUAUUACUCCUCGACCAAAAAGGACCAGAACAAAAAGUUUACUUCAAUUGUUCCCAUAGGAAACUCAGCUUGGUUAGUGUGUCAGGCACUUUCUGAGAUACUAGCCCACCCCUCGAGCCCUCUCAGCAACUCUACAGGCCAAUCAAUGCAAGUUCACUCAGAUGAUACAGCU